UGAUUGAACCAAUCUGUGAGCCCUAUGGAAAU
rnacentral:piRNA from 1 species